rnacentral:tRNA from 1 species
GGGCGCUUAGCUCAGUUGGUUAGAGCGUGUGACUUACAUUCACAAGGUCAGGGGUUCAAGUCCCUUAGCGCCCACCA